rnacentral:rRNA from 1 species
ACCGAUCCUUUAAGGAUGAGYGGCAGACGGGUGAGUAACGCGUGGGAAGCUACCUUGUGGUAGGGAACAACAGUUGGAAACGACUGCUAAUACCCUAUGAGCCCUAUGGGGGAAAGAUUUAUCGCCAUGAGAUGUGCCCGCGUUAGAUUAGCUAGUUGGUAAGGUAAUGGCUUACCAAGGCGACGAUCUAUAGCUGGUCUGAGAGGAUGAUCAGCCACACUGGGACUGAGACACGGCCCAGACUCCUACGGGAGGCAGCAGUGGGGAAUAUUGGACAAUGGGGGCAACCCUGAUCCAGCCAUGCCGCGUGUGUGAUGACGGCCUUAGGGUUGUAAAGCUCUUUCASCAGUGAAGAUAAUGACAUUARCWGCAGAAGAAGCCCCGGCUAACUUCGUGCCAGCAGCCGCGGUAAUACGAAGGGGGYUAGCGUUGUUCGGAAUCACUGGGCGUAAAGCGUACGUAGGCGGACUGAUCAGUCAGGGGUGAAAUCCCGGGGCUCAACCCCGGAACUGCCUUUGAUACUGUCAGUCUUGAGAUCGAGAGAGGUGAGUGGAACUCCGAGUGUAGAGGUGAAAUUCGUAGAUAUUCGGAAGAACACCAGUGGCGAAGGCGGCUCACUGGCUCGAUA